CGGUGACAAGUCAUAGCGACUCAUGUUCCCUCCCUGCCCGGAUGCGUCUGGCCGCCGAUGGCCGCUGUCCAUAGCAUGGGCUGCUCGAAGGCGCUGAAACGUUUACAAAUGCGGGAAACCUGCCGUAUAAGGCGGAACUCUUGCAGUGCCUAGCAUAUAUAUGAUUGGCUUGAUCCCCAUGCUGUUAAACUGGCUAUGUGUAUAGCUAAGGGCCUGGGCAAGACCGGUUGCCAGCCCGCCUGCUGGUAACAUUGGCGGCCCCAGAGGUGAUCCAUUAUUAUUGGGACGUAAAGGGUCCCGUAGCCCCAUUUGAUCAGGUCGUUUUGGGAAAUUUGACCGCUCAACAUGAUAGGCAUGCUAAGGGAAACUGACUAAACAUUGGGACCGGGGAGAGGACAAGAUGGGUACCCACAAGGGUAGGAGCUGAAAUUCAUUGCUAAUCCAUUGAUGGGACCUACCUAGAUGGCUCAAGUGCGUCAUUACCUAGAAACUGGCGUUCCGACUUGAUGAGGU
rnacentral:rRNA from 1 species